CAGCAGCCGCGGUAAUACGUAGGGGGCAAGCGUUAUCCGGAAUUACUGGGUGUAAAGGGAGCGUAGACGGUUAAACAAGUCUGAAGUGAAAUGCCAGGGCUCAACCCCGGAGCUGCUUUGGGAACUGUAGAACUGGAGUGUCGGAGGGGUAAGCGGAAUUCCCAGUGUAGCGGUGAAAUGUGUAGAUAUUGGGAGGAACACCGGCGGCGAAGGCGGCUUACUGGACGACAACUGACGUUGAGGCUCGAAGGCGUGGGUAGCAAACAGGAUUAGAUACCCCUGUAGUCCCUGUCUCUUAUAC
rnacentral:rRNA from 1 species